CCUACGGGUGGCAGCAGUGAGGAAUAUUGGUCAAUGGGCGCGAGCCUGAACCAGCCAAGUAGCGUGAAGGAUGACUGCCCUACGGGUUGUAAACUUCUUUUAUAAAGGAAUAAAGUGAGGCACGUGUGCCUUUUUGUAUGUACUUUAUGAAUAAGGAUCGGCUAACUCCGUGCCAGCAGCCGCGGUAAUACGGAGGAUCCGGGCGUUAUCCGGAUUUAUUGGGGUUAAAGGGAGCGUGGAUGGGUUGUUAAGUCAGUUGUGAAAGUUUGCGGCUCAACCGUAAGAUUGCAAUUGAUACUGGCAGCCUUGAGUGCAGUUGAGGUAGGCGGAAUUCGUGGUGUAGCGGUGAAAUGCUUAGAUAUCACGAAGAACUCCGAUUGCGAAGGCAGCAUACUAAACUGCCACUGACAUUGAUGCACGAAAGUGUGGGUAUCAAACAGGAUUAGAUACCCGAGUAGUC
rnacentral:rRNA from 1 species